UACGUAGGGGGCAAGCGUUUGUCCGGAUUUAUUGGGCGUAAAGAGCUCGUAGGUGGUUCGGUAAGUCGGAUGUGAAAUCUCCAGGCUCAACCUGGAGGGGUCAUUCGAUACUGCCGUGACUAGAGUUCGGUAGGGGAGUGUGGAAUUCCUGGUGGAGCGGUGAAAUGCGCAGAUAUCAGGAGGAACACCCGUAGCGAAGGCGGCACUCUGGGCCGAUACUGACACUGAGGAGCGAAAGCGUGGGGAGCAAACAGG
rnacentral:rRNA from 1 species